GUCAAACUGAUGUCAGUUCUCUCUGCACAUUUGCAGUGGAGUUUGGCUCAAGGACUUUUGACAAAUACCUUGUGUAUGAUGUAUUUAAAAACCUGACUCAGAAUGCCUCCCUAAUGGGGAAAUACAGCCUGGACAAUAACAGCAUAAAUAUUAAUGCCUAUCCUUCAGCCAUGGUAACAACAGAACCAUCCAAACAAGGGCUACCUUACUGGGCCAUCAUCCUCAUAUGCUUCUCCAUUUUACUGGGUUCUAUCUUUUUCUUUCUUCUAUGUGUCUUGACUGUUGUGUGGGUGAAGAGGAGAGCAGGCCAGUACCAGAUCCAAAGGAACAUUUUUGGCCUCCAUUUCCCACAUAUGGACAUACAAAAAUCAUAGUGAUGUCGAUUUUGGAAAUUUGACUCCUUCCCUGCAAGAGGACCCUUUCCAUCUUGCACAUAUUGUGCAACAAAAAUAUGUUUACUAUAGCUGGAAUGAAUUUCUUGAUGAAGAAAGAUACUGCAUAUUAUGUGGAAGACUGCCAGACUGAUAGAUUGAUGGGGUGCCCUGUCAUCUUUAUUUUUUAUGUGUUGUGAAACUUGGAGUCUUUUUAAAUAUCUAUAAAAAACUACAGAUUAUAUUAUUUAAGUGCCAAAAAAAGAGAGAUUCUGCCUGGACCAAGGAUCAGUAUUAAACAGUUUGCAUUCUUUUGAGACUGCAAAGCAUCAAUGAACUCUAUUGCACAUUAAAAAAUGUAAAAAGAAAAUAUAUACUGUAUUCUUUUGCUCAAUCAGUAAACAUUUUACUUGUGUUUGUUUUUGAAGCAAGAAUUUUUGUCUUUCAAAGACAAUUAAGUUGUUGAAAUGGAAGACUUACAGUAUUUUUAUUUUAUUUGAGCU